rnacentral:tRNA from 1 species
CAGGGAAUAGUUUAUUUAAAAUAUUAAAUUUGGGUUUUAGAGAUGGAAAUGUUUCCUUUUCCUGA